rnacentral:rRNA from 1 species
UACGCCCGAUCUCGUCCGAUCUCGGAAGCUAAGCAGGUCGGGCCGGGUCAGUACUUGGAUGGGAGACCGCCUGGGAAUACCAGGUG